UCUUACGUUCAACACUCUUCGUCCAUCCCUUUCCGUUCGCUAUCCCUCACCCCUCGAUCAGUUUUUCUUUCGGUCCAUAUUUGGCAAAACAAUCAAUUUCUGUAUGGUAAUUAAUCCCUUUCUUUGGUAAUCAAUCUCAAUUCACGUCAAUCAUGGACGGUGAUCUAUCCUGUACCCCGCGCCCUUGGACGCCAGCGGAAAUUUCUCCUUUGAUGGGAGAGCUGGAGACGAUGCCAUGAUACGGAGCAUCUCCAGGAGCACCGCUCAGAUGGGCACAAUGAGUACACCGAAGAAACCCUAUUCCGUCCGCCAUCUCGUCUCUUCUUCUGUGGCGGCGUGAGAAAUCAAGUGGCGAGCAUCGGCGGACGGUGGAAGCGAGCUCCCAGUCCCAGGUCCCAAGCAAGCAAGGUCCAGGGGAGAAAAUCGAUGGAGGGCUAGGUGGACCACAUCUCCGCCGCCAGCGGCGAUGUCUUCCCGUUCCUCUACCGCCUCGUGGCCGAGUCCUCCUCUCCCCAAUCGCCGAGCUCGCCGCGCCAGCGGUGUGAGCAGGAUGGUGUACACGGGCUUCAUAAACACGUGGCCGUCUAGGCUUCGGAUGUGGUCGACGCCGAUGAGGACUCGAACAAUCCACAGAGCCGCAGUGCCGCACCAGGUAUAGCUACUGCUACUCUCCCUCCUCAGUGAACAACAAGGCCAUUCGAUCUGUUUAUGGAGGUUGCAACUCACACGGGUUUGUGGGUUUGGAAAAUAAGUCUGUAGCCGGCCGCUUCUCAUCCUUGUCAAAAUUACGGCUGCCAUGUUCUCCACUAACGCAUGUAGAAGCUGAGCCCCCAUGCCGGCGGAGGGAAGGCCUUCCUGCGCAUGCUGCUUUCCUCUUGGCCUGCUGUAUGUCUGUAUUAUCUUAUCAGAGCUACUAAUUAAUCACAAGCACAUGUGCAGAUCGAUCAAUUAAACUGCUUCAGAUAAGACCAUUUAAUUGUUGAUCUGUCAAAUUGAUUUAAACAAGUACGUAGACAAACAGACUAAUUUUUGAUUUUUAGCUGAGGAGUUUCGUGAGAGGAAAGGAUCCAUGAGGGCCAUGACAUAACGAGCUAAGAGCUUUGGGGAUUGAAGUACUUCUAGAUCUGAGGGGAGGAUGGAGCUGUGUGAGACGGGGUGUCGGGCCAUUACCCGUGAAGGAUACUACUAACUACUGAGUACUGACCAAGCAAUAAACUGGAAGAUGAUUCCAUCAGGGGAAAAGAACGAAGUCGUUGUCAAAGGAAGAAGACCCAAGACCCAGGGUGCUUCGUGAUUCGUGUUGAGACGUGGCAUUCCUUGGACGGCGUAAAAAAGACCAGGUCUCGUAGAAUUUUUUUCCCGGUUUGUGGAGAUGAUGGCACCAGUAUUUAACAGGGAUCUAUGGAAAUGUGUUGGCAUAUGAUCCAGUACAUAAAUUGAUUGAGUCGGUUUUCUGGUUUGAUUUCCUGGUACCUGAGAAUUUAGACUACCUUUGCUCUUGUCUGCAGGCUGGUACUUCUUCAUGCAGCUAGACUCCUCCCAAGAUUUGCACUCACAUGUGAUUUUUUUUGUGUCUGCGCACAAAUUUUAUCCUGGAGUAAAAUUUUGUGUCCUACAUGAUUAGUUGCGUGUAAGAUUUAUGGUGGAGUAAAGAUGAUUGAAGUUUUGUAGUAGUUGCCAAUAGACCAUUUUCUAAAACAAUACGUAUUUCUUUUGCAAUCCAUACAAAUAAUGUUCAUGUAAAGAAGUAAGUGUUUGAGGCAGUUUUAACUUGCA